GGUUGUUCAUAAGAGUGAGAAGGUUGGCUUAUUAUACUUAGAUUCCACAUCUCCAAGUCCUUAGUCAAAUCGUCUAUGGUCGAGGAUGAAAAGCUCAAAAUUAGCAGCAUCUUUGUAAAUGGGAUCGAGAACUUUUGACAUCCUUUCUUUUAACUUGAUGAUAUCUCAAAGCCACCAUCAAAUGCUACCACAUUCCUUAGAACACCUCACAACAU
rnacentral:misc_RNA from 1 species